CUGCGUGAAGUUGGAAUUGCUAGUAAUCGCGGAUCAGCAUGCCGCGGUGAAUACGUUCCCGGGCCUUGUACACACCGCCCGUCACACCAUGGGAGUCGGUAACACCCGAAGCCAGUAGCCUAACCGCAAGGAGGGCGCUGUCGAAGGUGGGAUUGAUGACUGGGGUGAAGUCGUAACAAGGUACC
rnacentral:rRNA from 1 species